rnacentral:miRNA from 1 species
CAGUUAAAUUAGAAUUUCACGUAAACAAAAAAUAAUUGUUUAGUAUAAGCAUAUCCAAGGCAAUAUUUGGGAUAUACUUAUACUAAAAACAAUUUUUUUUUCAUUUA